rnacentral:rRNA from 1 species
AAAGAUACCCAGGUAGUCCACGCAGUAAACGAUGCAGACUAGGCGUGGGGGGACUUGACCCCCUCCGUGCCGGAGCUAACGCGUGAAGUCUGCCGCCUGGGGAGUACGGCCGCAAGGCUAAAACUCAAAGGAAUUGACGGGGGCCCGCGCAAGCGGCGGAGCGUGCGGUUUAAUUCGACGCAACGCGUAGAACCUUACCAGGGUUUGACAUGCACCUGCAGAGCCGUGAAAGCGGUUGGCCUUCGAGGGUGGUGCACAGGUGCUGCAUGGCUGUCGUCAGCUCGUGUCGUGAGAUGUUGGGUUAAGUCCCGCAACGAGCGCAACCCUCGUGGCUAGUUGCCGAUGUUUCUAGCCAGACUGCCGGUAGCAAGCCGGAGGAAGGUGGGGAUGAUGUCAAGUCAGCAUGGCCCUUACAUCCUGGGCUACACGCACGCUACAAUGGCCGGGACAAUGGGCAGCCAAACCGCAAGGUGGAGCGAAUCCCCCAAACCCGGUCUCAGUUCAGAUCGCGGGCUGCAACUCGCCCGCG